AUGGAGCGAUGGGAGUGGACUGGAUGGCCUUUGGGGGUCUCUUCCAACUCUAGGAUUCUUACAGCCCUAUUUCUCCAUCUCUAUAAGGCUGGUUGGACGUCUGUCGGGAGAGUUUUGAUGGUGUCAUGGAGGGACGGGAUCCUCCAUCUCUAUAAGGCUGGUUGGACGUCUGUCGGGAGAGUUUUGAUGGUGUCAUGGAGGGAUGGGAUCCUCCAUCUCUAUAAGGCUGGUUGGACGUCUGUCGGGAAAGUUUUGAUGGUGUCAUGGAGGGACGGGAGUGGACUGGAUGGCCUUUGGGGGUCUCUUCCAACCCUAGGAUUCUUACAGCCCUAUUUCUCCAUCUCUAUAAGGCUGGUUGGACGUCUGUCGGGAAAGUUUUGAUGGUGUCAUUGACGGACGGGAGUGGACUGGAUGGCCUUUGGGGGUCUCUUCCAACCCUAGGAUUCUUACAGCCCUAUUUCUCCAUCUCUAUAAGGCUGGUUGGACGUCUGUCGGGAGAGUUUUGAUGUUUUCAUGGAGCGAUGGGAGUGGACUGGAUGGCCUUUGGGGGUCUCUUCCAACUCUAGGAUUCUUACAGCCCUAUUUCUCCAUCUCUAUAAGGCUGGUUGGAUGUCUGUCGGGAGAGUUUUGAUGGUGUCAUGGAGGGAUGGGAUCCUCCAUCUCUAUAAGGCUGGUUGGACGUCUGUCGGGAAAGUUUUGAUGGUGUCAUGGAGGGACGGGAGUGGACUGGAUGGCCUUUGGGGGUCUCUUCCAACCCUAGGAUUCUUACAGCCCUAUUUCUCCAUCUCUAUAAGGCUGGUUGGACGUCUGUCGGGAGAGUUUUGAUUGUGUCAUGGAGGGAUGGGAUCCUCCAUCUCUAUAAGGUGGUUGGACAUCUGUCGGGAGAGUUUUGAUGGUGUCAUGGAGGGACGGGAGUGGACUGGAUGGCCUUUGGGGGUCUCUUCCAACUCUAGGAUUCUUACAGCCCUAUUUCUCCAUCUCUAUAAGGCUGGUUGGAUGUCUGUCGGGAGAGUUUUGGUUGUGUCAUGGAGUGGACUGGAUGGUCUUUGGGGGUCCCAACUAUUAUUUCUCUCAAUGGACCGUCUAAUGCCUAUGACUGUUUUGCUUCUGUGUUGGAAACCGCCCUGAGUCCUCUCGAGGAGAUAGAGGGGUAUAUAAAUAAAGUUUUAUUAUUAUUAAUAAUAAUAAUAAUAAUAAUAAUAAUAAUAAUACUUUAUUUUUGUAUCCCGCCAUCUCCCCAAAGGGACAAGCCCAAACAACAACAUAACUUAACAUACAGCCAAGUUUAAAAACAAUAAUUUAAAACAAUAAAAUAAUAAUAAAUAUAACAAUAACUUUAACCUGUUAUUUAACCGUGAUUAUUAUUAUUA
rnacentral:lncRNA from 1 species